AUACGGAGGAUCCGAGCGUUAUCCGGAUUUAUUGGGUUUAAAGGGUGCGUAGGCGGCCCAUUAAGUCAGGGGUGAAAUACGGUGGCUCAACCAUCGCAGUGCCUUUGAUACUGAUGGGCUUGAAUCCAUUUGAAGUGGGCGGAAUAAGACAAGUAGCGGUGAAAUGCAUAGAUAUGUCUUAGAACUCCGAUUGCGAAGGCAGCUCACUAAGCUGGUAUUGACGCUGAUGCACGAAAGCGUGGGGAUCGAACAGGAUUAGAUACCCUGGUAGUCCACGCCCUAAACGAUGAUAACUCGAUGUUGGCGAUAGACGGCCAGCGUCCCAGCGAAAGCGUUAAGUUAUCCACCUGGGGAGUACGCCCGCAAGGGUGAAACUCAAAGGAAUUGACGGGGGCCCGCACAAGCGGAGGAGCAUGUGGUUUAAUUCGAUGAUACGCGAGGAACCUUACCCGGGCUUGAAAGUUAGUGAAGGAUGCAGAGACGCAUCCGUCCUUCGGGACACGAAACUAGGUGCUGCAUGGCUGUCGUCAGCUCGUGCCGUGAGGUGUUGGGUUAAGUCCCGCAACGAGCGCAACCCCUAUGUUUAGUUGCCAGCAUGUUAAGGUGGGGACUCUAAACAGACUGCCUGUGCAAACAGUGAGGAAGGUGGGGACGACGUCAAGUCAUCAUGGCCCUUACGUCCGGGGCUACACACGUGCUACAAUGGAUGGUACAGCGGGCAGCUACAUAGCAAUAUGAUGCUAAUCUCUAAAAGCCAUUCACAGUUCGGAUUGGGGUCUGCAACUCGACCCCAUGAAGUUGGAUUCGCUAGUAAUCGCGUAUCAGCAAUGACGCGGUGAAUACGUUCCCGGGCCUUGUACACACCGCCCGUCAAGCCAUGAAAGUUGGGGGUACCUAAAGCAUGUGACCGCAAGGAGCG
rnacentral:rRNA from 1 species